UACGAGAGGUGCAAGCGUUAUUCGGAAUUAUUGGGCGUAAAGGGUGCGUAGACGGUAUGCUAAGUCAACUGUUAAAUUCCCCGGCCUAACCGGGGGCAAGCGGUAGAAACUGAUGUACUAGAGGGUGGAAGAGAGAAGUGGAAUUCUCGGAGUAGCGGUAAAAUGCGUAGAUCUCGAGAGGAACACCGAUGGCGAAGGCAGCUUCUUGGUCCACAUCUGACGUUGAGGCACGAAAGCGUGGGGAGCAAACAGG
rnacentral:rRNA from 1 species